rnacentral:rRNA from 1 species
UGUUGGGUUAAGUCCGUACGAGCGCAACCCUGUCCUUAGUUACCAGCACGUUAUGGUGGGCACUCUAAGGAGACUGCCGGUGACAAACCGGAGGAAGGUGGGGAUGACGUCAAGUCAUCAUGGCCCUUACGGCCUGGGCUACACACGUGCUACAAUGGUCGGUACAAAGGGUUGCCAAGCCGCGAGGUGGAGCUAAUCCCAUAAAACCGAUCGUAGUCCGGAUCGCAGUCUGCAACUCGACUGCGUGAAGUCGGAAUCGCUAGUAAUCGUGAAUCAGAAUGUCACGGUGAAUACGUUCCCGGGCCUU